rnacentral:rRNA from 1 species
GACGAACGCUGGCGGCGUGCUUAACACAUGCAAGUCGAACGGAAAGGCCCUGUCCUUGUGGGGUGCUGGAGUGGCGAACGGGUGAGGAAAACGUGAGUAAACUGCCCUUGUCUUUGGGAUAACAUAAGGGAACUGGGGUGAAUACAGGACAGGAGCUCCUGCGGCAUGGGGGGGGUUGGUAAGUGUCGGCGGUUGGGGAUGGACGCGCGGCGCAUCAGGUUGUUGGUGGGGUAGGGGGUUACAAAGGCUUUGAAGGGUAGCCGGCCUGAGAGGGUGACCGGCCCCAUUGGGACUGGGAUGGGGCCCAGACUCCUACGGUAGGCAGCAGUGGGGAAUAUUGCAAAAUGGGCGGAAGCCGGGUGCAGCGGCGCCGCGUGCGGUAUGACGGCCUUUGGGUUGUAAACCGCUUUCGCCUGUGAUGUGGCGUGAGUGACGGUAAUUGGUAAAGAAGCGCCGGCUAACUACGUG